rnacentral:SRP_RNA from 1 species
GCCGGGCGUGGUGGCUCACGCCUGUAAUCCUGGCAAUUUGGGAGGCUGAGGCGGGCGGAUCACUGGAGGUCAGGAGUCCAAGACCAGCCUGACCAACAUGGAGAAACCCCGUCUCUA